rfam:Strongyloides venezuelensis genome assembly, scaffold: SVE_scaffold0000011
CCAAAGGCCCUCUUUAGGGCCACCUACUGCCUUUUUAAGUUUGUUU